UACGGAGGGUGCAAGCGUUAUCCGGAUUCACUGGGUUUAAAGGGUGCGUAGGCGGGCAGGUAAGUCAGUGGUGAAAUCCUUGAGCUUAACUCGAGAACUGCCAUUGAUACUAUCUGUCUUGAAUAUUGUGGAGGUAAGCGGAAUAUGUCAUGUAGCGGUGAAAUGCUUAGAUAUGACAUAGAACACCUAUUGCGAAGGCAGCUCACUACGCAUAUAUUGACGCUGAGGCACGAAAGCGUGGGGAUCAAACAGG
rnacentral:rRNA from 1 species